GUGUAGGGCAAACCCCGCUGAGUUAACUAUUACCUAUACUGUUGGAGAUAUAAUAGCCUGGAGGAAGUUUGAAAGGGUUCCCCCAAAAUCCACCGGAGGAAGACGACAUAGUAUUGUUUAAAUUCAAAAAUGGCGGCAAAUUUUGAAUUCAAAACAAACACGUGACAUCAUGAAAUGCACAAUAAGAAUAGAAAUAUAUUAUUUACUUUAUAGUUCUAUGUUUUCUAUAACAAUUUUUAAAGUAUUUUAAAUGAAUCAGACUAGUAUUAUUUAAUUUGCAACUAAGAAAAUCAUUAUGAGUGAAACAAAUGUUUAAAAUGUCACGCCAAAAAUGUUUAGUGAGCUAAAAUAAGUCAAUAAUUGCUUUUGUCAAAAUUUGAUAAUGUACAUAUUUAUUUAUAGAUUAAUGUUUAAAUACCCACCCUAUUCUUUUAAAUGACAUUUGUAAUUUUGUUUGAUCAUGAAUAACAGUUAAAUAAUGAUGAACCAUGAUCAUGUUCAAGCCAGUGUAGUUUGAUUGUUUUAAGCAGCAACCUGGUUCUUAUCCUGCUUUAAAAUGUAUUUUACAUAUUUUUGUGCAGCUUUUGGUGUAAUCCAGAUGUUCAAAUUUGUAUAAAGAUUGACAAUGUACAAUGCACACUGAAAAAUAACAAAGAUUAUGUAUCUAUCUAAAUUUUAUUUCAUAUGCGGUAAAAAAUAUAUAUUUGCAAAUAAAA